CCUACGGGGGGCAGCAGUGAGGAAUAUUGGUCAAUGGACGAGAGUCUGAACCAGCCAAGUAGCGUGAAGGAUGACUGCCCUAUGGGUUGUAAACUUCUUUUAUAAAGGAAUAAAACGAGGCACGUGUGCCUUUUUGCAUGUACUUUAUGAAUAAGGAUCGGCUAACUCCGUGCCAGCAGCCGCGGUAAUACGGAGGAUUCGAGCGUUAUCCGGAUUGAUUGGGUUUAAAGGGAGCGUAGAUGGGUUGUUAAGUCAGUUGUGAAAGUUUGCGGCUCAACCGUAAAAUUGCAAUUGAUACUGGCAGUCUUGAGUACAGUUGAGGUAGGCGGAAUUCGUAGUGUAGCGGUGAAAUGCUUAGAUAUCACGAAGAACUCCGAUUGCGAAGGCAGCUUACUAGACUGCCACUGACAUUGAUGCUCGAAAGUGUGGGUAUCAAACAGGAUUAGAUACCCGUGUAGUC
rnacentral:rRNA from 1 species